rnacentral:tRNA from 1 species
ACCUCCGUGGCUCAACGGAUACAGCACCGGUCUACGAAGCCGGGGACGCAGGUUCGACUCCUGCCGGAGGUA